rnacentral:lncRNA from 1 species
CGUGAAAAUGAACAAUAAAUCUAACUUCAUUUAAUUUUCCAAAACAGAAAAUCAGAAAAAGAUAAAUCUGCAGACAUCGCAUUAAGCAUCUUUGCAUCAGAAAUUUCGAGCAUAUUUCAUAUAGCCAAGAAAGUGUAGGUGACCAAAUCCAGUUCAUCUCCACCACCGGACCAACUUUCAAGUCAUAAAGUUCAGCUCAAAACGGAACCUAAGAGAGAGAGAGAGAGUUUAGCUUAAAAAGUCAGUUGAAGAUUACACAUUUCUGCCUCUAAGGAUGUACUUUAAUACCAUAUAAGCACUAAAGAAUGCUAAAUGAUAAAGUUACCAUCAUAUUAUUAUAAAAACUUGAAAGGCAACCUCAAGAUCUUCUUCUACCCUUGGACAAAAGAGGGAUAAAUAAUCCACUCUACAGUUACCUCACAAAAAUCGCAAAAAUAUAGACACAAGGGAAAGGGAUAUUGCAUAUAAAGUUACAUCCCAACAGAAGAGCAGGCUUAAACCUCCCAAUACUAGUGAAAUCAGCAACUUAAGGAACACCCCAAGUCUACCCUGCCGAAACAACUAAAUAGGAGUAUAGAUACACCCAAAUGAGAUACAAAAAAGAACGUAGAAAAAACCAAGGCCGAACAUAGAAAACCACACUGAAAUUUGAGGUUUAAGUAAGUUGCCAAGAAAACUACAAACUCACUCUAUAGAUUAAUCAAAAACCUAAAACUCUUCAGGGAGCAAAACUUCAGACAUCUUUUUACCACCGGAAUGCCAAGCACAAUUUUUGCACUGACACUGAAAGCAGAAACAAAGCCAUUAGUCAGAGACAGUCCACACCACAGUGCCCAAACCUACUAAACGAAUUUGCUUACAGAAGAACAAAACAGAAAUAGGAAGCAAAAUCAGCACAAAGAGUUUCACUCCAAACUUGAGAAGUCACACCCACAGAUCUAUAUACAAAACACCCGAGAAUCUACACAACAGCAGAGAAAUCCUACAAUUGCAGCUCUUUGUUAGGAGGAAUAGUAACUUAACUAACCAACUUCCAAAUUCCCAAAAGAUUGACCAACAAAUACCACAAUUGUCAAAUAACCAUAAAUCUUACUUCCAGAUUCCCAAUAGAUUGACCUACAAAUACAAUAUCCAACUUGUAUCACUCAGUCAAAAUCCAAAAUCAUAAUCAAUAUACAAUAUCCAAACUGUAAGAUUCAUCAAGGAAAACCGAAGCAAAGAUAAAGAGAACCUCUGACAGAAGGCCCCUGCACCAAUCUGCUUGCCAAAUCCUUCAUAAAUGUCUUAUAUCUUUCAACUCCAAACCAAUAACCACAAACAGCAUCCAUAAUAAUUAUCUGACCCCAAAAUGUUGACAAAUCAGAGAAAUGCGAACCUUCUAAACACCUGUUCGCAACUGCUGCCAGAUAUUCCUUAUCCUUCUUCAAAUGACUUCAAACACAACAUCUACAAUGAUAAAUUAGCAUGCUCACACCAUACCUACUAAGAGCUCUAAAGCUGAAAUCUACAGAAAAAAUUACAACGUAAAGACAGAGAAAGUCUCAAAAAUCUUUGCUGAGUACAGGAUUUCCAGACCCUGAUCAUAGAAUGCCUCAUAAGUAAUAGCAAGAAGUUCAAAAAAUAUUAAAUACCAAUAGGAAUCCGCCUUAGAACUCCACCAAGCAAAAGUUCAACUCACCAAAUCCCUAAGAACAAAAUAAGCACCAACACUAACAUUAAAACAGAUAUGAAUACAAAUAUUACAAGGAAAAGAAAAUGAAGAAGCUAAAAGUGAAAAGUCCUGCAAAAACCACAAUGACCAGAGCAAGAAAGGUAGACUAAUAUAUUAAUACAGUUAGCAAUACAGAACUUGAUCUUCUCUGGUUCUCUCCCCUACUUCUAUUUCACCCUCGUUUUCCCUUGUUCCUCCCUAUUUGCUUCUGUCUAUUGCUGAUCUUCCCUCUAAAUUUCUAUUUUCUAUUUCCUUCCCCUACUGGUUCUUACAUCAAAAUAUAACAGAACUUGAAACUCUGUAAUAAAAGCCAAAAGCAGGUUCUCAACACAUACCACUCUUAGAACUACACGCACACAAACAUAAAAGAAAAGUAAUGUUCAAAAUUGAUCACUGCCUGUCAAACAUCGAGAUAAAAACCUGUUUUUGAAUUAUUAAGUAAAGAUGCUACCUACAAUCAUAAAACCAUUCAUAUAGAUAUCAAUCACAACAAGAAGAAAGUGUCCUCAGAACUGUGCCAGCUAGAAAGAACAUCUGCAUUCUACUGAAACUAGCUAGUGUAUAUAGAAAUGACAUCAGAACGUGAAACUACCACAAAAACCAGCUCUUACUUAGAGUUUAGGGUAAAUGUAAAUGUAACCCGAUAGAAUUGAAAUGGCCAUCCUCCCCUCCUCAUCUACUUACCUAAUCCCUCCAUCCCAAGUUCAUCAACAAAGAUACAAGCAUAUAAGAUCUCAUUCUCCCUGCGUAAUGCUAAUAAUCCCUAACAGCAGCCUCUGAAGACCCAAGAAUCAAGAACACGUAUGGGCAAAAAAAAGCAACCAAAAGCAACAUAUGGCUUGAAAACCUAAGAACUACAAAAACUCAGACACAAAGAAUACAAAAUAUGAAGAACAUUUGACAAAACAACCCUCUUGCAACAGCUGUGCAAUAUCCUUCAUCCUUUCUCCUUUUAGUUUUGAAAAAUGAUAACAUCAACAUCUAAAAUAAUAAAGGGUUAAUAACAUCUUAUCAUGCUCAGUAACGUAACUCCACAGGAUCCUAAAAUCUCCAAAACGAAAGACUACAAAUAAAUACAAUAAGAAGGAAACAAAUCUCAUUGAGGGUUGAAAUAGUAUUCUAAAUUCAAAAAUCCAAGAGACCCCUUAUCAAACACAACCAUAAAAGAUAUUGAAAGCAUUAAAAACUAAGAGGCCCUGAAACAAGGGUGGAAAAGUAUCAAAAAAUAACAGACAACAUAUAUAACCGUAGUAUAAAUUGUGCUAUGUGCUGAAGGUAGGAUCUAAAAUAAUAAAAGGGUCAAUAAUGCUCAGUAACAUAACUCCACAGAAUCCUAAAAGCUCCAAAACAAAAGACAGUAAAGAUAUACGAUAAGAACCAUGAAGAAGAUCUCCUUGAGAGUUGAGACAGUAUUCCAAAAUUGAAAAUCCAACAGACCCUGAUCAAACAAAACCAUAAAAGAAAUCUUGAAAAAAACUAUAUAAAUACAAUUUCUAGCAACAUACUUCAUUUCUGCUACUUAGACAUACAAAAACUAUCAACUUUCAUAACUAUGCAAAGAUCGAAAUCGGAUACUGAGAACCAAAUGGAAAACAAAACCUCAACUGACAGAACUUGUAAACUCUGCGUGGAUCUCUCCAACCUACAAACACAAACAAAUCUGAAAAGAAUAUAAAUCCCACAAUAAGAACUCAGUCGGACAUUUAUACGAACCAGUUAAAAGUACACGUCAAAAAUCCAAGAAAUGAAAGCACAACUGACAUAUAAAUUUGUGGCAGAGCUUGAAUGACCAGAAAAGUAUCAGCUACCUACAAUCACAGAGGGGCAGAUAUAGAUAUCAAUCACAAACACAAGAAAAAUAUCUGCAUAAAAUUCCUGUCUCAACUAGCAAGGACAUUCACAAUCUUUCGAAACUAGCAAGUGAUCACCGGAAUAUUUCCAAACCUAUAAAAACUAUCACACACACCUGUAGUUACGUCCACAUUCUGACACUAGCAUGCGACCACUCGAAUCUUUCAAAACCUGCACAACAACCAUACCAACUACUUAUCUCAUGUUUUAAGCAAAUGAUAGGUCAAUGCAAGACAAACAUUUAAGUGGUCUUCUAUUAUCGCUUCAUCUACUCACCAAUCCCUCCCUCCAGAGCUCCAUCCUCUAAGAUAUGAGAUAACAAUCUCAUUCUCCCACAGAAUGCAAAAUUGCUAAUAGUUCUUAAGAGCAGCUGCUGACCCAAAAACCAUAAUAGGAAAUUUCAAUACCUAAACAACAAGAAAAGAAAAAUUGUUAAGAAACUUAUCGGAUGACUUAACCCAUCUCAGCACAUAAAGAGGAUGGCGUAACCCAACUCAUCUCAGCACAUAAAGAGGAUGACUUAACCAACCUCUGCACAUUAAGAGUAACAACAUCUCGACAUUAUAAACUUCUGCAUUAUGAAAAUCCCAAAAGAAACACAACAAAAUUAAAAACCAUCUAUUGAUAUGAAAAACAGAUCUAAUCAAAAGCCUCAAAUCCAAGUAUUUUUGAGAGAUAUGAAGAACCAGGAAGCAAAUCUCCUUGAAAGUUGAGAUAGAAAUCCAAACCAAUGGAAAACUUAAAAACCAAGAGAUCCAAAGAAAGAGUAGAAUAAAAUUGUAUAAUCAGUGUAGACUUUUGUCUUAU